CUAAUCAUGGCUGUAGGGGGAGCAGAAGUUUCUGUGGAAAGCUCUGGAAUUACAGGGUAUGAGGAGGCAGUUUGAGCUGUGGCGUUUACCUUCUGUUGCAUCAGCUCGCAUGCUGGAUUUGUUUAAAGCUUAUUAGAUAAUUUAGCACGCUUGUGAGCGUUUGACUUCUGAUCUCCAUUUACCCUCCUUUAUGGGCUUGGAAUUGCUGGUGUAGAGUGUUAACCUUGGGAUGACAAGUGCCAUACCAUCCUGUGAGAUGUGCCAAGACAGAAUGAGCAUCUGUCAAAACACGUCGGUCCCAGCGGACGCUUCGCUGAUGGACGCAGACAUGCAGGAGAGAGAAAGAUAGACAAAAAGGCGGACAAGGGAUGGCUGAAAAGAGUGGUGGAUGAUUUGGAUGGGUGGGGUCUCGUACUCACCUGCUGCGCCCACCAGCAUCCUUGAACCCCGUUUCACCUCCAUCGCUGCGAGGGGUGGACGCAAAGGUCUUCCACACUUUCUCUCUUUCUCUCUCCAUUUUGAUUGUGCAUGCUUACAAGCAUACUAAUGAACUCGACAAUAGAGAAUAGAGUGAGAACAAGAAGAGAAAUGGAAAUGAAUGCUGUGGCUGAAAAUACAAUUAAGUAAAAACAACACAUUUGGUUUCUCUUUGCAGUCCAAUGCAUCUACUCAGGAGUCGACACAUUUGAAUUGCAAAGGACUAUUAAAUAUUGCUUGUGCAAAUGCAA